UACGAAGGGUGCAAGCGUUACUCGGAAUUACUGGGCGUAAAGCGUGCGUAGGUGGUGCGUUAAGUCUGUCGUGAAAGCCCCGGGCUCAACCUGGGAAUGGCGAUGGAUACUGGCGCGCUAGAGUGCGGUAGAGGAGAGUGGAAUUCCCGGUGUAGCGGUGAAAUGCGCAGAGAUCGGGAGGAACACCCGUAGCGAAGGCGGUUCUCUGGGCCGGUACUGACGCUGAGGAGCGAAAGCGUGGGGAGCAAACAGG
rnacentral:rRNA from 1 species